CUGGGGCCGCCCCCAGCCCACCCAAAGUGGCCCCGGUUGGAAGGAAUCCCUGGCCCCAAGUGUCUAAGUCAGCCCGACAGGAUCUUUAGGAAGGGCUCAGCCCAUCAGGAAAUGUUGCCCUGCUCCUGGAGUUACUGAUAAUUGACUUUAAAGUCUGCUUUUUUACAAUUCCUUUGUGUCCUGAUGCACCUAAAUGGUCCUUUUUCUUUACCUUCUGUCACUCUUGAGCCCCCCAUGAAACGAUAUCGCUGGGUUGUGCUGCCCCAGCCCAUGAAGAACAGUCCUGUUAUCGGUCACUUUGUCAUUCAUUCAGGGAUACAACCAGAACGGCACAAAUAAUUAUCUCUUCUGAUGUAUCACUACAUGGAGAAAAUUUUAAAUCCUUCCGGCAGUUCUCCAUUACUGGGUGACUGUCUUGCUGCUUUAAAGAUGCUGUCGAUGGGACGACUCCAGUGCCAGAGCCUGGCAGGAUAUGAUCCAGCAGUAAAACAUCUUCUUAUUCCUGCAGCAGAAUUAGAGCAUCUGUUCAGGGAUUCACUGUCAUUUCAAAUUGUUCUUGAGGACUAUAAUGCACAAUUUUUUCACACAAUGCCUCGUCAUGCCCUGCUACAAUCCUUCAAGGGACUCCCCUUUCAACAAGGAUGACUUGAAAAGAAAACUCCAAUCCCUGGUGCAAAAACUGUUUUCACUGAUGGAUCGGGAAAGGCACACGAAGCUGUGACCCUGUGGAGAAAUGAUAAGGGACAGUGGGAACAUUUGAUAACCUCUCCACCUGGGCCUACCCAGCUAGUGAAACUGGCAGCUGCGGUAAAAGCAUUUUGCCUUUUUUCACAGGAACCUAUUAACAUUGUUCAUGAUUCUCUUUAUGAUACAGGAAUCAUUGAGAGAAUUGAGCGCUCAUUCCUGAAGGAAGUCUCUAACAAAGUUCUUCUUCUGUUAUUAACCACUCUGUACAAAUGUUCACUUCACAGUCUCACGAAUACCACAUUCUGCACUUUGGGUCACACACCACUCUGCCUGGACCCGUAGUGGAAGGCACUGUGAAGGCAGAUGCCCUCGCCAUGACAGUCACUAUUCCAGAAAAGUUAGGGCAGGCCAAACUUUCUCAUGAUUUCUGCCAUCAAAAUGCCUGAGCACUGGGAAAACAAUUCAAUCUGACUUUGCCACAAGCACGGGAUGUCGUGAAUACUUGCUCACAGUGUCAGCAGACUCGUUCUUUGCCACAAAUGUUAGGUACAAAGCCACAAGUGUUGAAACCUAAUGACAUCUGGCAAACAGAUUUAACACACAUUUUGAGCUUUUGGGCUUUUAAAUAUGUCCAUGUUUCUGUUGAUACCAUUUCUGGAUUCAUACUAGCAACAGCACACAAGGCUGAGAAAUCCAUGGGAAUUUGAUGGCAAUUUGGGAGGGGAGCUGAGGGAUUCUAAAUUCCAAAUGCCCCGAAUGCUGUCAUUUCGUUGGGAAUUUGGGAGGGGUGAGGGGCCCUGCGGGGAAGAGGGAGAAUUGGAAACCCAAUCUGGUAAUUGCCCUCUUGUUUUCUCCCCCGCAGGGCGGCGAGGCCUGGAUCCAUUCCCUCACCUAGCCCUUAAUUACUCGCAGCAGUCAGCAAUUGUUUUGCAACAUUCCCUGUAAAAUUCAGAUUUAAUUAGCAUUUGAUUUUUAUAAAAGGCUUUUCAGAUAAUUUAGAUGUUUUAAAAAACCCUUGUAGAAAUUUUUUAAACUACCAAUUUGUGAAUUUUAGCAAUUGCAAGAAAUAAAAAGAGAGAACUAAAGGAACAAUUUGGAACAUGUUUUGUUGUUUUUUAACAAUUUUUAUAUGUUUUUAUUAAUUAAAAUGUUUUAAUUUUUAACUGUAAGAAGUGCUGCUGGAGUUUCCCUGUCCAGUUUCCUAGUCAAACCUUAACCAAUGUUCCUUUUAAUAAUAUAUUACUAUAAAUUGGCAAAAGCACAAAUUAAGUUUAAAAAAGAUAAAUUAUAGAAUUAUCCUUUAAACUCCGGAGAUUGCAUAUUUGGAAAGGGGCCUGCAAAAGGCCAUAAUCACAGUGAUGAUAUUAAAGGGUGAACUUAAGGUUUUUAAUUUAAAUUAAAUAUAAGUUUUGUAACAACUAAUUUUUAAUGAUAAUAUUUGAUUUGUUAAUUUGAAGAGUUGUUGAUUUGAUUUGAGAAUGCAAAAUACCUUUUUGAAAUUUUUAAACAGUGUGUUUUUACAAAAGUAAAGAUUAUUAAUUCAAUUAAAUGUAUAAAAAGAUUAAUUCUUAUUCAGGUUUUCAAUUUUGAAGAACUAUGUGUUUUUUAACCCCAAAACCAAAAAUACCAAAUGCUUUAUUAGCUUUGAUUUUAAUUAUUGAUUAAUUUGCCCUUUUUAUUUCAAAUGUAUGUCUUUGUAUUGUUUUUUAAAAUCACUCUUUGUUAUAUUUGAAGUAAUUUUGAAAAUUAACCCCGUUGUUGAGUUGUAUAUUACAGAAAGAAUAUUGUAACUACACCAAAGUCGACUAUGCUACAUUCGAUCAUGACCAUUUACUGAACUGAAUUUCCUUGAAGAGAAAAAAACCCCUUCAAACUUGAGUUUUCCAAGAGAAGAACAAGAUAACUGAAGUUUUUAAUAAUUGUCCAGAAAAUCAGCCAAGGAAGAUCAGCCAAAUUGAUAUGUUCUGGAAGUUUCUGCGCAUUCAGCACAGAGAGACCGGGAGCAGUGCAGCUGAGGGCCCCGCCGAGCCUGACUCGGGGCUGACCGAGCUCCAGGCAGAGCCUGAUGUCAGCCUGGAUUCAGCUGAGCUCUCACAAGACUUGGACACAACAAUUUAUGAGGACGGAGAAAACGGAGACGAGGCACUGGCACAGGUUGUGGCCA